rnacentral:rRNA from 1 species
CGGCAACAGCUCAAAUUUGAAAUCUGGCCCCUAGGGUCCGAGUUGUAAUUUGUAGAGGAUGCUUCUGGCGCGGUGCCUUCCGAGUUCCCUGGAACGGGACGCCAUAGAGGGUGAGAGCCCCGUCUGGUUGGACGCCAAGCCUCUGUGAAGCUCCUUCGAC